rnacentral:rRNA from 1 species
CAUCAGUAGACGUCGUCUAGCCACCGGGAUGUUCAUAACCCUUUGUUGUCCGACUCUGUUGCCUCCGGGGCGACCCUGCCUUCGGGCGGGGGCUCCGGGUGGACACUUCAAACUCUUGCGUAACUUUGCAGUCUGAGUAAACUUAAUUAAUAAAUUAAAACUUUUAACAACGGAUCUCUUGGUUCUGGCAUCGAUGAAGAACGCAGCGAAAUGCGAUAAGUAAUGUGAAUUGCAGAAUUCAGUGAAUCAUCGAAUCUUUGAACGCACAUUGCGCCCCCUGGUAUUCCGGGGGGCAUGCCUGUUCGAGCGUCAUUUCACCACUCAAGCCUCGCUUGGUAUUGGGCAACGCGGUCCGCCGCGUGCCUCAAAUCGACCGGCUGGGUCUUCUGUCCCCUAAGCGUUGUGGAAACUAUUCGCUAAAGGGUGCUCGGGAGGCUACGCCGUAAAACAAACCCAUUUCUAAGGUUGACCUCGGAUCAGGUAGGGAUACCCGCUGAACUUAAGCAUAUCAAUAAGUCGGAGGAAGUCC